rnacentral:misc_RNA from 1 species
GAUGAAGAACGUAGCAAAAUGCGAUAAGUAAUGUGAAUUGCAGAAUUCAGUGAAUCAUCGAAUCUUUGAACGCACAUUGCGCCCGCCAGUAUUCUGGCGGGCAUGCCUGUUCGAGCGUCAUUUCAACCCUCAAGCACAGCUUGGUGUUGGGACUCGCGUUAAUUCGCGUUCCUCAAAUUGAUUGGCGGUCACGUCGAGCUUCCAUAGCGUAGUAGUAAAACCCUCGUUACUGGUAAUCGUCGCGGCCACGCCGUUAAACCCCGACUUCUGAAUGUUGACCUCGGAUCAGGUAGGAAUACCCGCUGAACUUAAGCAUAUCAAUAAGCGGAGGA